rnacentral:misc_RNA from 1 species
ACCACGGUCAUACGUACUGAUCCGAGGUCACCUGGUUAAAAGAUUGGUUGCGAGGCUAGCUGCCAGCUGGACCUACGGGAGCGGGUGACAAAGCCCCAUACGCUCGAGGACCAGACAUGGUGCCGCCACUGCCUUUUGGGCCCGUCCCCGUUACCAGGGACGGAAGCCCAACACACAAGCCGUGCUUGAGGGCAGCAAUGACGCUCGGACAGGCAUGCCCCCCGGAAUACCAGGGGGCGCAAUGUGCGUUCAAAGACUCGAUGAUUCACUGAAUUCUGCAAUUCACAUUAAUUAUCGCAUUUCGCUGCGUUCUUCAUCGAUGCCGGAACCAAGAGAUCCGUUGUUGAAAGUUUUAAUUAUUGUUUAACUAAAAACUCAGACUGCAAACUUCAGACAGUGUUCAAAUGUUAGUCUUCGGCGGGCCGUGGCCACGCCGAAGCAACAGGGUACAGAUAGACACGGAUGGGAGGUUGGACCCAGAGGGCCCGCACUCGGUAAUGAUCCUUCCGCAGGCACCCCUUACCGAAAAGGGG